CUGCUUUUUUCACUUAAAAAUAUAUACAUUUCCCCAUGUCAUUACUUUUCUAAAACAUGGUCGUGAAUGACUACAAUCAUAUGAAUAUCCCAUUCUUUUAACUAUCCCAUACUGACAGAUAUUAAGAUUCUUGAAGAUAAAUCUUUGUAUAUGUAUCUGAUGCAUUUUUUAAAUUUGUAAUUAAUUUUAUUCUUUCCUAGAAAUUAAAUAACCGGGUCAAAAAAUAAGAAUUUUAAGGCAAAUUGUCUGCCACCAGAAUUAUGCUAGUAAUGAUGACAACAGCUGUUUGAAAUUGCCUAUUUCACCACAGCCGUUAAGUGUGGCUGUAAGAUUUUCUCAAUUUGGAAAAAAAUAAAGAGAAAUGGCAUUUUGUCUAUUUAAGAGGAUUUUUUUUUUUAUUACAGUUUGAGUCUGAACACUUUUAGAUGUCUUUUGGCCACAAUCAUGAGUGAGUGUAUUGAUAAUUUGCCCAUUAUUCUAUUAAGAAAGUUUAUUAUUGAUUUAGGAAGCCCUUUACAUAGUAAUAAAUGAAAACUGUUGAAAGUGAAAGUGACAUCAUUGUAAACAUUUUCCUAGUUUAUCCCUUACUUUUUAAUUUUUACUUUUGUUUCAUUCUUGAAUCAUACUUUUUGACGGAAUAUUGCAAAAUUAAUAGCAGAUAUUUGGGAGUCAGACCUGAGAUCGAAUCCUGGCUCUGCCUCUUACCGGCUGUGUCCUUUCAAAUUAUUUAACUUCUCUAAACCUCAAUCUCACUAUUUUUUAAAGUUACUGUAAUAAGACCAAUGUGGCAAGUUUAUGGUAAAAUGUGAAUAAAAUAAUAAUAAUGAUAAUUUUACCAUUUGUUUCAGGUACUAUAUGCUCUUUUAUGUGGAUCAUCUCGUUUCAUCCUCACAGCAGCCUUAUUAGGAAUCUUCUGACAUUAGGGCAGAUUACUCAUGAUGGAAAAUGCAAAUGCCAGGCUCUGGGGAGGCCCGUCGUAAAGGAACCUGACGACUGGCAUCCCCGGUUCCAGCCCUGUGCUGCCAGCAGCUGUCCCUAAGUGAUUAAUGCAAGCAGGCAGAUAAACCUCGGGUCAUUUCUAAAUCGGAGAACUACCUGAAAAUUAAUACACCAGCUUAACCUCGUCUGACUAGGAUUGAAGAUUUUCUCAAACUGAUGUCCGUUUGACGUCGUGGAGGGGCUGAAGCUGCCCUUACUCUAAAUCAUACCUCUGUCACGGUGAUUCAAUCACCCAUUUGCUUAACUCGGUCAACAAACUCAUAUUUCCAAGUAGUACUCCUCAAAAGAGCUUCAGAGUGGACUCGGAAAGCAUCUCCUGCUUUCUUCCCUGCCUCUAAGACCAAGAAAACCAAGCGUCAGAAAUGAAGAAUUUCAGUGAAUGGGGUCUACUAAUUGAAUCCUGUCUGUGCAGGGUUUUCAAUCAGACUCCACAGUUUGCCUUUUCUAAAACACAUAAUAUCUCCCCACUUUGAAAGAGCUCAAUAAAUGAUUUUAAAAGAAAUAAAAACA
rnacentral:lncRNA from 1 species